AAUACUUAUAUGUGGUUGGAUUCCUUGGGCUUUGUUUCUGUGGCUUUAAUGAAUUCAUUGUCUUGCAGGUUUUAUCCUUCUAGACCGGCUGCAAAUGCAAUUUCAACUGUCAUUAGGAAGGUUUAUAAUGGUGCCCACCAGACUUGGGGGAGUAUGCCACAUAGUCAGCAGCAAGCAAUGCUUAAUGAGUUUAUGAAAAGGUGCACAUGGAGUCCCGACGAAGAUCAUCUUAUUAGAAACAAUUUUAAAAAGAGGAUUGCUCGUCGAUUAUCAGACACGUUCUCUGAUUCUCGGACAACAGAUGUAAGGCCUGAUUAGGUUCUACCAGAUCAUUGGGGAGAGCUUCUUAAAUACUGGGACACUGAUGAUUUUAAACAAAAGAGCGAACAUGCAAAAGCCGCUCGUAAUUCUGAGAAGGGUGGCUCGUUGCACACUUGUGGUUCAGUGUCUAUGGGGACUCAAAAGAGGAGAUUGGAAGCUGCUCUUAAGAGACCCGCGAAACGUGAUGAGGUUUGGAAGAAGACCCACACAAAAAGCAAAGUCGGGGAAGAAGCUAGGGUUGAGCCACGAGCUGAGGUGGCUUAUGUAUGUCACGACCCGGAUUUCCCACCCUCGGGAGUCGUGAUGGUGCCUACUCGAAGAAGCUAGGCAAGCCACGAAAUACAGAAAUUCUAACUCUUUCAUUUUUAAUGCUUUUUAAUAACUUGUAAUAACAGGUGAUCAACAUUUAAAUAAUA